rnacentral:rRNA from 1 species
AUGGGGGGAUUCAUCGUCAGCGGCUCUGGCCUCCCGUCUGCGCGUGAUGCCCCGACUACGGACCUUCGCGGUUCCGUGGCGAGGGCACGCCGUCUUCGGCGAAUGUCUGGAGUCGAAGUCGUGCACUUCUCCCCUAGUAGAACGUCGCGACCCGUUGAGUGUCGGUCUACGGCCCGAGUGGGCGCCUGCCGCGUCGUCUCGUACGCUCGCGGCAGACCCUCGGUUCCCCGGCCGGCUGCUCGGCGGUACUCGCACGGUAUCGGGCCGCAACCAAUCCAUCUCGAAUGUGUUUGCGUCGGGCCCGCCGCAAGCUCGGUCAGAAACUCGGAGGUCGGACUUAGAGCCGUCCCCGGGACUGGCCAGCUGUUGGUAGGCGGUGUCCUCGGACUGGCCAAGCUUCGAAUUACCGGUCGGCGACGCUACUGCUUUGGGUACUCUCAGGACCCGUCUUGAAACACGGACCAAGGAGUCUAACAUGUGUGCGAGUCAUUGGGAUAGAAAAACCUAAAGGCGAAAUGAAAGUGAAGGUCGGCCUCCGCGUCGACCGAGGGAGGAUGGGCCGCGUUACGAUGCGGCUCCGCACUCCCGGGGCGUCUCGUUCUCAUUGCGAGAAGAGGCGCACCCAGAGCAUACACGUUGGGACCCGAAAGAUGGUGAACUAUGCCUGGUCAGGACGAAGUCAGGGGAAACCCUGAUGGAGGUCCGUAGCGAUUCUGACGUGCAAAUCGAUCGUCGGAACUGGGUAUAGGGGCGAAAGACUAAUCGAACCAUCUAGUAGCUGGUUCCCUCCGAAGUUUCCCUCAGGAUAGCUGGCACUCGCUCGAUCGAGUCUCAUCUGGUAAAGCGAAUGAUUAGAGGCCUUGGGGCCGAAACGACCUCA